rnacentral:rRNA from 1 species
ACGGGUGAGUAACACGUGGGUAACCUACCUAUAAGACUGGAAUAACUUCGGGAAACCGGAGCUAAUGCCGGAUAACAUUUGGAACCGCAUGGUUCUAAAGUAAAAGAUGGUUUUGCUAUCACUUAUAGAUGGACCCGCGCCGUAUUAGCUAGUUGGUAAGGUAACGGCUUACCAAGGCAACGAUACGUAGCCGACCUGAGAGGGUGAUCGGCCACACUGGAACUGAGACACGGUCCAGACUCCUACGGGAGGCAGCAGUAGGGAAUCUUCCGCAAUGGACGAAAGUCUGACGGAGCAACGCCGCGUGAGUGAUGAAGGUUUUCGGAUCGUAAAACUCUGUUAUUAGGGAAGAACAAAUGUGUAAGUAACUGUGCACAUCUUGACGGUACCUAAUCAGAAAGCCACGGCUAACUACGUGCCAGCAGCCGCGGUAAUACGUAGGUGGCAAGCGUUAUCCGGAAUUAUUGGGCGUAAAGCGCGCGUAGGCGGUUUCUUAAGUCUGAUGUGAAAGCCCACGGCUCAACCGUGGAGGGUCAUUGGAAACUGGGAAACUUGAGUACAGAAGAGGAAAGUGGAAUUCCAUGUGUAGCGGUGAAAUGCGCAGAGAUAUGGAGGAACACCAGUGGCGAAGGCGACUUUCUGGUCUGUAACUGACGCUGAUGUGCGAAAGCGUGGGGAUCAAACAGGAUUAGAUACCCUGGUAGUCCACGCCGUAAA